GCGGCAAUGGCUGAGUGGUUUAAAGCGGUGGACUUGAAAUCCAUUGAUGGUAAUACAUCCGCGAGUUCGAAUCUUGCUUGCCGCG
rnacentral:tRNA from 2 species